GUGCCAGCAGCCGCGGUAAUACGUAGGGGGCGAGCGUUGUCCGGAUUUAUUGGGCGUAAAGAGCUCGUAGGCGGUUCGGUAAGUCGAAUGUGAAAUCUCCACGCUCAACGUGGAGGGGUCAUUCGAAACUGCCGUGACUUGAGUACGGUAGGGGAGUGUGGAAUUCCCGGUGUAGCGGUGAAAUGCGCAGAGAUCGGGAGGAACACCCGUAGCGAAGGCGGCACUCUGGGCCGAUACUGACGCUGAGGAGCGAAAGCGUGGGGAGCAAACAGGAUUAGAUACCCUGGUAGUCC
rnacentral:rRNA from 1 species